CCUACGUGAGGCAGCAGUGGGGAAUAUUUCACAAUGGGCGGAACCCUGAUGCAGCGACGCCGCGUGAGUGAAGAAGUAUUUCUGUAUUUAAAGCUCUAUCAGCAGGGAAGAAACUGACGGUACCUCACUAAGAAGCCCCGGCUAACUACGUUCCAGCAGCCGCGGGAAUACGUCGGGGGCAAGCGUUAUCCGGAUUUACUGGGUGUAAAGGGGGCGUAGGCGGCAGAGCAAGUUUUAGGUGAAAGCCCGCAGCCCAACUGCGGGACUGCUUUUGAAACUGCCCGGCUAGAGUGCUGGAGAGGUAAGGGGAAUGCCUGGUGUAGCGGUGAAAUGCGUAGAUAUUAGGAGGAACACCAGUGGCGAAGGCGGCUUACUGGACAGUAACUGACGUUGAGGCACGAAAGCGUGGGGAGCAAACAGGAUUAGAUACCCCGGUAGUC
rnacentral:rRNA from 1 species